rnacentral:sRNA from 1 species
UCUUCUGAUGAACACAAUGUCACAACCAACAAAACAAAGUCUGGCUGUACAUUUAUAAAACAGUUGUAAUGGAUUACAUGAUAAAAAAUUAACAGUUAAAAAGAGGAGUCCUUUCUGACCUUCAAAUUCAUGGGGCAGCUGUCAUCUGUUUCUGUGGCCCACAGUUAAUGAGGAUGUCUUGUUACAGAUAAACAAUAUUAUUUUCCCCACUUCAGGUAACUAUUGAGGGUAACUUUAAAAUUCAAAAUCCCAGUCUUCACUAUGAUUUGAUAACAUAAAUCUAAAAGCAGCUAACGCAGUUUUCAGGAAAAAUUACCUUUCCGCCAUGAGGAAAAGUUGGCAUGAAAAAAACAGAACAACUAAACAUAGAUAGAGAUGGCCACAAACUCUGGCGUAUAGCCAAAUGUCUCAACCAGGAAGAAAACAGGACAACUCCUAUAGUAAUAGAAAAGGACAACAAACCCCUGAAAGGCCAAGAAGCAGCAAAUGAAUUCAUUAAGUUUUUCCAAAGCGUAGGACAAAUACAAAUUAAUGAAAG